GAAAAAGAUCGAAAUGAUGCUUGCCGCCAUUUUUAGCAGUUAAGCCUUCUGAAGAAGAAUGAUC
rnacentral:sRNA from 1 species